CCCCCGGGCGACGGGGGGGGGCAUGGUGGUUUUUAUUCAAAGCAACGCGAAGAACCUUACCAGGUCUUGACAUCCUCUGACAACUCUAGAGAUAGAGCGUUCCCCUUCGGGGGACAGAGUGACAGGUGGUGCAUGGUUGUCGUCAGCUCGUGUCGUGAGAUGUUGGGUUAAGUCCCGCAACGAGCGCAACCCUUGAUCUUAGUUGCCAGCAUUUAGUUGGGCACUCUAAGGUGACUGCCGGUGACAAACCGGAGGAAGGUGGGGAUGACGUCAAAUCAUCAUGCCCCUUAUGACCUGGGCUACACACGUGCUACAAUGGAUGGUACAAAGGGCUGCAAGACCGCGAGGUCAAGCCAAUCCCAUAAAACCAUUCUCAGUUCGGAUUGUAGGCUGCAACUCGCCUACAUGAAGCUGGAAUCGCUAGUAAUCGCGGAUCAGCAUGCCGCGGUGAAUACGUUCCCGGGCCUUGUACACACCGCCCGUCACACCACGAGAGUUUGUAACACCCGAAGUCGGUGGAGUAACCGUAAGGAGCUAGCCGCCUAAGGUGGGACAGAUGAUUGGGGUGAAGUCGUAACAAGGUAGCCGUA
rnacentral:rRNA from 1 species